UACUGUCACGCCCUGACCAUAGAGAGCCAUUGUUUCUCUAUGGUGAAGUGGUUCAGGGUGUGACUGGGGGGUGAUGUAGUUUAUUUAUUUCUGUGUGGGGUUCUAGGUUUUAUUUUCUAUGUUGGAGAUUUGCAUUAUUCCCAAUUAGAGGCAGCUGUUAAUUGUUGUCUCUAAUUGGGGAUCAUACUUAAGUAGCAUUUUUUCCAUGUAGGUUAUGGGGUAUUAUUUUGAGUUUGUGCCUGUUGCACCUCUGUCGUAGCGGUUUGUUUGUGUAUAGUUUAUUGUUUGUCUUGCUAAGUUUCACAUAAUAAUAAUAAUAAUAAAGAUGUGGAACGAUACUCAAGCUGCGCCUUGGUCCGUUUCUACAAAACGCUCGUGACACGUUCAAAUCCUUUUGCUGCAGGAUUAUUUCGCUGCAACCAUACUGGAUAAUUAAGAUCUUACAUCUGUACAUCUACAGUAUAUGUUUAAUUUGUAAUAUUAGACAAUGUGCAAAAUGUUUCCUCUUUUAGGAACUUGACCAUAAUAUGUGUUUUAUUUACAGGGCAAGAAGAGCCUGUUAACCCAAAGGUUUUUGAGAUUGUACGAAAAACCUUAGGGUUGCUUUUCCUUUUCAGCCUGAUCGUAUUCUUUGCAUGGAGGAGGAGAACAUCUAGACUCCCCAGUGGGUUUGACAUGACAGACAGUUCACAGGGACAGAACUCCCCGGUUGGGACAGUAUGCUUUAACCAGGCCACGGUCGGUAGAGGGAACCAGUAACCACCACUUAACUACUUAGAUGGGCUUAAUGCACAAGUCAAUAAAAGAGGUGCAUUUUAUGUAUUUCGCCAAUGAGUAUUAAGUGUUUUUAUGUACAGUAUUGUCAUUGUGCAUUCAUUUUAUAUUGAUGCUUUUGUUACAUUUAUAAUUGUGUGCUCUUUGAUUAUCUGCAUAUUUGUAGAAUUUGCUGGGAUGAAAAGUGUUUAACUGUUACUAUAAUGGUGAUACGAUGAUGUAGGCUACUCUUUAUUUUUGACCAUUUAUUUUGAGUGAUGAGUUCACAGAGCAUCUGUUUAAUGGGUUCCAGUAUAGAGGAACUGCUGAGUUCAACUAGCCUACUGAAGGCAGUUUAAGACCAUAUAAAGUCAAUGAUGACUGAGGAGAGAAGACACAGUUAUACAGACAAUGGUCUGAUGCAAGACAGGAAGUUGGUGAAGUAAGUCUACGUGACGGCAGAAUGGUGUUAAAAUCUACUAGUCACUGUUUCUCAUCAUCUAUUGUGCAGUUCCCAGAAUGACAAUAUCAUCUAUUUUCAGUUUAUAUCUAUUUUGAAGUUAUUGUGUCAGUUUUUAUGUUGAGUGUUAAAUCAAAGAAACACCUGAGGCUGAAUUUAAGGUUGUUUAUUAAUUGCACUGUAAUUAAAACAUUUACAUUCAAUUUCCAUGAAAUCUUUUUGUCUUAUUGGUCCAACAUUUGACAUAUUUCAUUAAAAUUGAUUACAUUUAGAUGUGUCACUGGCCUACACACAAUACCCAUUAAUGUGGAAUGAUGUUUUGAAUUAGAAAAUAAAUUAAAAGAUGAAAUAUCUUGAGUCAAU
rnacentral:lncRNA from 8 species